rnacentral:rRNA from 1 species
GAUGAACGCUAGCGGCAGGCUUAACACAUGCAAGUCGAGGGCAUCGAGAGAGUAGCAAUACUUUGUCGGCGACCGGCGGACGGGUGCGUAACGCGUAUGCAACCUACCUUAUACAGGGGGAUAACCUUUCGAAAGGGAGACUAAUACCGCAUAACAUUACUUUGAGGCAUCUUGAGGUAAUUAAAUCUUCGGAGGUAUAAGAUGGGCAUGCGUAGCAUUAGCUAGAUGGUGCGGUAACGGCGUACCAUGGCGACGACGCUUAGGGGUUCUGAGAGGAAGGUCCCCCACACUGGUACUGAGAUACGGACCAGACUCCUACGGGAGGCAGCAGUGAGGAAUAUUGGUCAAUGGUCGGAAGACUGAACCAGCCAAGUCGCGUGAAGGAUGAAGGUUCUAUGGAUUGUAAACUUCUUUGUCUGAGGGUAAAAAAGCGGACGUGUCCGUUCUUGCAAGUAUCAGACGAAUAAGCAUCGGCUAACUCCGUGCCAGCAGCCGCGG